GGGGCGUUACACCCUAUGGGCGAAUGAUUAGCGGCGCGAAUCGCCCUUAGAGUUUGAUCCUGGCUCAGGACGAACGCUGGCGGCGCGCCUAACACAUGCAAGUCGAACGAGCGAGAGAGAGCUUGCUUUCUCAAGCGAGUGGCGAACGGGUGAGUAACGCGUGAGGAACCUGCCUCAAAGAGGGGGACAACAGUUGGAAACGACUGCUAAUACCGCAUAAGCCCACAGCUCGGCAUCGAGCAGAGGGAAAAGGAGCAAUCCGCUUUGAGAUGGCCUCGCGUCCGAUUAGCUAGUUGGUGAGGUAACGGCCCACCAAGGCGACGAUCGGUAGCCGGACUGAGAGGUUGAACGGCCACAUUGGGACUGAGACACGGCCCAGACUCCUACGGGAGGCAGCAGUGGGGAAUAUUGCACAAUGGGGGAAACCCUGAUGCAGCGACGCCGCGUGGAGGAAGAAGGUCUUCGGAUUGUAAACUCCUGUUGUUGAGGAAGAUAAUGACGGUACUCAACAAGGAAGUGACGGCUAACUACGUGCCAGCAGCCGCGGUAAAACGUAGGUCACAAGCGUUGUCCGGAAUUACUGGGUGUAAAGGGAGCGCAGGCGGGAAGACAAGUUGGAAGUGAAAUCUAUGGGCUCAACCCAUAAACUGCUUUCAAAACUGCUUUUCUUGAGUAGUGCAGAGGUAGGCGGAAUUCCCGGUGUAGCGGUGGAAUGCGUAGAUAUCGGGAGGAACACCAGUGGCGAAGGCGGCCUACUGGGCACCAACUGACGCUGAGGCUCGAAAGUGUGGGUAGCAAACAGGAUUAGAUACCCUGGUAGUCCACACCGUAAACGAUGAUUACUAGGUGUUGGAGGAUUGACCCCUUCAGUGCCGCAGUUAACACAAUAAGUAAUCCACCUGGGGAGUACGACCGCAAGGUUGAAACUCAAAGGAAUUGACGGGGGCCCGCACAAGCAGUGGAGUAUGUGGUUUAAUUCGACGCAACGCGAAGAACCUUACCAAGUCUUGACAUCCCUUGACGAUGCUGGAAACAGUAUUUCUCUUCGGAGCAAGGAGACAGGUGGUGCAUGGUUGUCGUCAGCUCGUGUCGUGAGAUGUUGGGUUAAGUCCCGCAACGAGCGCAACCCUUACUGUCAGUUACUACGCAAGAGGACUCUGGCAGGACUGCCGUUGACAAAACGGAGGAAGGUGGGGAUGACGUCAAAUCAUCAUGCCCUUUAUGACUUGGGCUACACACGUACUACAAUGGCGUUAAACAAAGAGAAGCAAGACCGCGAGGUGGAGCAAAACUCAGAAACAACGUCCCAGUUCGGACUGCAGGCUGCAACUCGCCUGCACGAAGUCGGAAUUGCUAGUAAUCGUGGAUCAGCAUGCCACGGUGAAUACGUUCCCGGGCUAAUCUACACACCGCCCGUCAAGGGCGAAUUCGUCAAACGCACCGANCG
rnacentral:rRNA from 1 species